rnacentral:rRNA from 1 species
CUUGAUUUAUCAAGCGGUAGGAGAGCGUUCUAUUUGCGUCGAAGGUAUACCGACAAGGAGUGCUGGAGCGAAUAGAAGUGAGCAUGCAGGCAUGAGUAGCGAUAAUUAAUGUGAGAAUCAUUAACGCCGUAAACCCAAGGUUUCCUACGCGAUGCUCGUCAUCGUAGGGUUAGUCGGGUCCUAAGCUGAGUCCGAAAGGGGUAAGCGAUGGCAAAUAGGUUAAUAUUCCUAUACCAACAUUAGUGUGCGAUGGAAGGACGCUUAGGGCUAAGGGGGCUAGCGGAUGGAAGUGCUAGUCUAAGGUCGUAGGAGGUUAUACAGGCAAAUCCGUAUAACAAUACUCCGAGAACUGAAAGGCUUUUUGAAGUCUUCGGAUGGAAAGAAGAACCCCUGAUGCCGUCGAGCCAAGAAAAGUUUCUAAGUUUAGCUAAUGUUGCCCGUACCGUAAACCGACACAGGUGGGUGGGAUGAGUAUUCUAAGGCGCGUGGAAGAACUCUCUUUAAGGAACUCUGCAAAAUAGCACCGUAUCUUCGGUAUAAGGUGUGCCUCCCUUUGUAUUAGAAUUCACUUCGAAAGCAAAGAAGGUUACAACAAAGAGUCCCUCCCGACUGUUUACCAAAAACACAGCACUCUGCUAACUCGUAAGAGGAUGUAUAGGGUGUGACGCCUGCCCGGUGCUCGAAGGUUAAUUGAUGGGGUUAGCAUUAGCGAAGCUCUUGAUCGAAGCCCGAGUAAACGGCGGCCGUAACUAUAACGGUCCUAAGGUAGCGAAAUUCCUUGUCGGUUAAAUACCGACCUGCAUGAAUGGCGUAACGAGAUGGGAGCUGUCUCAAAGAGGGAUCCAGUGAAAUUGUAGUGGAGGUGAAAAUUCCUCCUACCCGCGGCAAGACGGAAAGACCCCGUGGACCUUUACUACAGCUUGACACUGCUAUUUGGAUAAGAAUGUGCAGGAUAGGUGGGAGGCUUUGAGUAUAUGACGCCAGUUGUAUAUGAGCCAUUGUUGAGAUACCACUCUUUCUUAUUUGGGUAGCUAACCAGCUUGAGUUAUCCUCAAGUGGGACAAUGUCUGGUGGGUAGUUUGACUGGGGCGGUCGCCUCCCAAAUAAUAACGGAGGCUUACAAAGGUUGGCUCAUAGCGGUUGGAAAUCGCUAGUAGAGUAUAAAGGUAUAAGCCAGCUUAACUGCAAGACAUACAAGUCAAGCAGAGACGAAAGUCGGUCUUAGUGAUCCGGUGGUUCUGUGUGGAAGGGCCAUCGCUCAAAGGAUAAAAGGUACCCCGGGGAUAACAGGCUGAUCUCCCCCAAGAGCUCACAUCGACGGGGAGGUUUGGCACCUCGAUGUCGGCUCAUCGCAUCCUGGGGCUGGAGCAGGUCCCAAGGGUAUGGCUGUUCGCCAUUUAAAGCGGUACGCGAGCUGGGUUCAGAACGUCGUGAGACAGUUCGGUCCCUAUCUGCCGUGGGCGUAAGAAGAUUGAAGAGAUUUGACCCUAGUACGAGAGGACCGGGUUGAACAAACCACUGGUGUAGCUGUUGUUCUGCCAAGAGCAUCGCAGCGUAGCUAAGUUUGGAAAGGAUAAACGCUGAAAGCAUCUAAGCGUGAAGCCAACUCUAAGAUGAAUCUUCUCUAAGCUCUCUAGAAGACUACUAGUUUGAUAGGCUGGGUGUGUAAUGGAUGAAAGUCCUUUAGCUGACCAGUACUAAUAGAGCGUUUGGCUUAUCUUAUAAA